rnacentral:rRNA from 1 species
AGAGCUUGCUCUUAAUGAAAGUUAGUGGCGGACGGGUGAGUAACGCGUGAGUAACCUGCCUUUCAGAGGGGGAUAACAUCCUGAAAAGGAUGCUAAUACCGCAUAACAUCUUAGUAUCGCAUGGUAUUGAGAUCAAAGGAGCAAUCCGCUGGAAGAUGGACUCGCGUCCGAUUAGCUAGUUGGCGGGGUAAAGGCCCACCAAGGCGACGAUCGGUAGCCGGACUGAGAGGUUGAACGGCCACAUUGGGACUGAGACACGGCCCAGACUCC